CCAUGUCAAGUCGUGCGGGAAAGGGUUUCGGCCCAAGUACCGCGGCAGACGGGUGAGUAACACGUGAGUAACCUGUCCCCGGGUCUGGGAUAACCAUCCGAAAGGAUGGCUAAUACCGGAUAAAGUUGCCAGGCGCAGUCCUGGUAAUGAAAGGGGGCCUCUGCAUAGCAAGCUCCUGCCUGGGGAGGGGCUCGCGGCCCAUCAGCUAGUUGGUGGGGUAACGGCCCACCAAGGCUGCGACGGGUAGCCGGCCUGAGAGGGUGGUCGGCCACACGGGCACUGAGACACGGGCCCGACUCCUACGGGAGGCAGCAGGGGGGAAUCUUGGGCAAUGGGCGCAAGCCUGACCCAGCGACGCCGCGUGGGGGAAGAAGGCCUUCGGGUCGUAAACCCCUGUUCUGGGGGAAGAACCCGGACUUAGUUAAUAGCUAAGUCAGGCUGACGGUACCCCAGGAGAAAGCCACGGCUAACUGCGUGCCAGCAGCCGCGGUAAUACGCAGGUGGCGAGCGUUGCCCGGAAUCACUGGGCGUAAAGGGUGCGUAGGCGGCCGGACAAGUCAUAGGUCAAAGCCCGGAGCUUAACUCCGGAAAGGCCUAUGAUACUGUCUGGCUUGAGGGCCGGAGAGGCUGGCGGAAUUCCCGGUGUAGGGGUGAAAUCCGUAGAUAUCGGGAGGAACACCGGUGGGGAAGCCGGCCAGCUGGACGGUUCCUGACGCUGAGGCACGAAAGCGUGGGGAGCAAACCGGAUUAGAUACCCGGGUAGUCCACGCCGUAAACGAUGGGCGCUGGGUGUGGGGGGUUAAACCCUCCGUGCCGAAGCUAACGCGUUAAGCGCCCCGCCUGGGGAGUACGGCCGCAAGGCUGAAACUCAAAGGAAUUGACGGGGGCCCGCACAAGCGGUGGAGCACGUGGUUUAAUUCGAUGCAAAGCGAAGAACCUUACCUGGGCUUGACAUGCCAGGGUUGUACUCUGGUGGAAACACCGGGGGAGCCUGAGAUUUUUCUCAGGCGCUCUGGCACAGGUGCUGCAUGGCUGUCGUCAGCUCGUGUCGUGAGAUGCUGGGUUAA
rnacentral:rRNA from 1 species